GACGAACCGAGCGAACGUUGUUCGGAAUCACUGGGCUUAAAGGGCGCGUAGGCGGGCUGUCAAGUCCGGGGUGAAAUCUUUCGGCUUAACCGGAAAAGUGCCUUGGAUACUGACAGUCUUGAGGGAGGUAGGGGCAGCUGGAACUUCCGGUGGAGCGGUGAAAUGCGUUGAUAUCGGAAGGAACUCCGGUGGCGAAAGCGAGCUGCUGGACCUCUUCUGACGCUGAGGCGCGAAAGCUAGGGGAGCAAACGGG
rnacentral:rRNA from 1 species